GGAGGGGGCGAGCGUUAUUCGGAAUUAUUGGGCGUAAAGGGCGCGUAGGCGGCUUGGUAAGUCAAAGGUGAAAUCCCUCGGCUCAACUGAGGAAUUGCCUUUGAAACUGCCUGGCUCGAGGCCGGGAGGGGGUAGCGGAAUUCCCAGUGUAGCGGUGAAAUGCGUAGAUAUUGGGAGGAACACCGGUGGCGAAGGCGGCUACCUGGACCGGUUCUGACGCUGAUGCGCGAAAGCGUGGGGAGCAAACAGGAUUAGAUACCCUGGUAGUCCACGCUGUAAACGAUGGGUGCUCGGUGUCGCGGGUAUCGACCCCUGCGGUGCCUUAGCUAACGCGUUAAGCACCCCGCCUGGGGAGUACGGUCGCAAGGCUG
rnacentral:rRNA from 1 species